AUUCAAGGGAAGAACUGCAAAUAUUCGGCGCCAUCUUUUACGAACGAUGUAGUCUGGCGAACACCUUGCCAAGGUGACCAUGCAUUACCUUUGAAUGUAUUUAAGGGUAAGUUGCAAGUCGGUAGAUUUGCUCCGCAGUUUCCCGGAUACCAGCACCCUGCUUCGCGAGAACUACUCUACGUUGUUCUCGGGGACUUAGACGAACAUCUGAAUCCGAUUUUGAAGAAGUCUUGCAUCGAUGGACACUGACAGAAUAUAGGAAGCUGCACAUGAAUGUUGGGUAUUUUAUCAUAAGUAGAAUACAGAAAGAUUCUGUAGUAGUAGGUCUCUUUAGUUGGGUAUUGAACUUGGCUUUGGUGUGUCUGGGGUCGGAUGAGGUCUCGGUUGCAUUUGAUCCUACUUGUUAUCUAUCACUGCCAAUGCUAGUCGAAAAGGAAGUACCAGUUGACCUGUAUCUGGCUUACAUGGAUCUUUUAGCUGAAAGUUUUCUGCUUUCAAGGGAUUCGAAGAGUUCGCAAAAUAUUAUGUCUCUAGGAUUCCACAGUUUUACGUAAUUCAAUUGGCAAGAAACUUAUACUAAUUCUUGUUUUAUUUUUCUAAAGGCAGAUUCGUAAUUGUAAAGAAUUGGGAAAGAAAAUUGACGGAGGCUCAGUGCCAAAAAAAUUAUGGUAGUUGGAAUGAUGACCGAAGCUCCUCGGAUUCGUUUAUUUCACGCGUUAUGGUAUUUAAAGAAAAUAAAUGUGUA